rnacentral:rRNA from 1 species
UACGGAGGGUGCAAGCGUUAUCCGGAUUCACUGGGUUUAAAGGGCGCGUAGGCGGUGCGGUAAGUCCGCAGUGAAAUCUCUGGGCUCAACUCAGAGUCUGCUGUGGAAACUGCCGUGCUUGAGUGUGGGAGAGGUGAGUGGAAUUCCCAGUGUAGAGGUGAAAUUCGUAGAUAUUGGGAAGAACACCGGUGGCGAAGGCGGCGACCUGGUCCAUUACUGACGCUGAGGCGCGAAAGCGUGGGGAGCAAACAGG